GGAGAGGCCUGGAUCAGGAAGGAUUUGCAGCUCUGUGCCCUGAGGCCCAGGACGCCCCCACCCCCAGCAGCUUCUGAGAAUCGGAAGGGAGAGAAGGGCCUACCCCACCUGGCACCCGUCCUAGAUGGCAAAGCCGCUGGAAGGCAGGGCUGGCCUUGGACGCAGGGUCCAUGGAAACAGUGGUCAGCCAGCCUGCCUCACACUCAGCCCCACUGCGGCUCCUGCUGGAAGGGAAUCCCAGCCUCUGGGCAGCACCCCCAGCCACUGACCAUGGGUCCCCGAGGCCCGGGGAGGGCCCACGAGGCUGGAGCUCCCCUCCCACCACUGCUUAGCCCACGGGGAGGCCGGGAGGCUCCUGCUGAGCUCAGGCAUGCACAUGGCCAGGAUGCUCAGUCUGGGUGGCUUGUGGGGGUCCCUGGAGGAGGCUCUAUUUCCAGAGACCCCAGCCCAGCUGACCAGAGCCCCUUGAAGACCGUGGGAGGUCUCUGGGCUGAUCUGUUUCAAGGUUCACAUUCAAGGGGAAACUGAGGCCCAGAGUGUCUCCUGGCCAUGCACAUCGGGAGUCAGCUGCGCUUGUCCAAUGCCAGCCCUGAUCCAGCCAGGCCAGAGGCUCCGGCCCUGAGUCCCAUUUGGCCUCCACCUCACUCUGGGGCCUCCUCAUUAACCCUGGCAGGGUUGAGGAAGCAGCUGCUCCGGGGGGUCCUGGACCUGCCCGGGGUCCUCCGCCUGCCCCAGGUGGGAGCCGCAGAAGCCUAGCACCUCCGGCUGGUGUCGGGUGGGCUUCCUGGGGGCUAUGUGGUAAACCUCCUUGACGAGCGUCAUCUACAGGACAGACAGCGUCAUCUGCAGGACACUCCGUCCGCGCUGCAAUACCUCUUGCAAACACCUCCUGCCCGUGUGACCUGCACCUCAGAUGCUCCCACCUCCUGGCUCCCUGGUCACCAGCGUCCUGAAUGCUCCGUGGCGCAGACGCCAGGCAGGAAGCACCAGUUGAAGGCGCUGAAAACAGAAGAUAAAGGAAGGAAAGGGACACAGCCGGUUCCUGCCGGGAAGGGGGGCCAGGCACAGCCUCCUGGAGCGCAGAGGAGCCUCCCACCUCGGACGUGCCAGGAACUUGCCCUGCGGCUCUGACGGAGUCUGAGCCAGGCCCAGCCCUGGGUGGGUCACUGUCCCUCAUUCUGGCCAGGGGGCAGUGGAGACAAAGGGGCGGCCUAGACCACACAGAACCCGAGGGGGGUUAAUCCUGCCAUGAAUGGGGACCCGUCCAGGACCCCACAGACCCCUUCAGAGGCCGUCCAGGCACCAGUGAUCAGGGCCACCAUCUGCUGUCACCAGCUGCCCCAAGCCCAGCCCCUCAGCCCUGGGGGACACCUGGAGGGCUUGGCCACCGCAAAGAGUCGUCACUGGGGCUGGGGUCCCCACGUGGCUCAGCCCUCCCCUCCCCCGACCACAGCGGUGCAGGUUUGAGCCAGGCCCCAGUGUCCAUCAGCCACCAGGCACUGAGCCGGGCCCCAGGGUCCAUCAGCUCCCAGGCACUGAGCUGGGCCCCAGCUCCACGCUGGACACCUGGGGUGUCAGGCACAGCCCAGGGGGUCACAAAGCAGGGAUGGGCUCUUGGUCUGCUCAGAGCCAGGCCCCAGGAUGUGUACUCAGAGCCAGGCCCCAGGCUGUGCUGGGGAUAGGGAGUGGUAGCUGUGUGGGACCCUCCACCUCGGCAGCCUCCUGCUCCCUGGCACGGGGGCCCCCCAACUCCUGGGGUGGAGGCCUUACCAGGCCAGACGCACG
rnacentral:lncRNA from 1 species